rnacentral:rRNA from 1 species
GACGAACGCUGGCGGCGUGCCUAAUACAUGCAAGUAGAACGCUGAAGGAGGAGCUUGCUUCUCUGGAUGAGUUGCGAACGGGUGAGUAACGCGUAGGUAACCUGCCUGGUAGCGGGGGAUAACUAUUGGAAACGAUAGCUAAUACCGCAUAAGAGUAGAUGUUGUAUGACAUUUGCUUAAAAGGUGCAAUUGCAUCACUACCAGAUGGACCUGCGUUGUAUUAGCUAGUUGGUGAGGUAACGGCUCACCAAGGCGACGAUACAUAGCCGACCUGAGAGGGUGAUCGGCCACACUGGGACUGAGACACGGCCCAGACUCCUACGGGAGGCAGCAGUAGGGAAUCUUCGGCAAUGGACGGAAGUCUGACCGAGCAACGCCGCGUGAGUGAAGAAGGUUUUCGGAUCGUAAAGCUCUGUUGUAAGAGAAGAACGAGUGUGAGAGUGGAAA